GACGUAGGGCGCGAGCGUUGUCCGGAUUUAUUGGGCGUAAAGAGCUCGUAGGCGGAUUGUUAAGUCAGGGGUGAAAUCCUGGAGCUCAACUCCAGAACUGCCUUCGAUACUGGCGAUCUCGAGUCCGGAAGAGGUGAGUGGAACUCCUAGUGUAGAGGUGGAAUUCGCAGAUAUUAGGAAGAACACCAGUGGCGAAGGCGGCUCACUGGUCCGGUACUGACGCUGAUGUGCGAAAGCGUGGGGAGCAAACAGG
rnacentral:rRNA from 1 species